UUCAGGUUCAAGGAUGGAAGUUUCUCGACGCCAGGUGGUUGCAGGAUGGUUUUCUGUCCGUCCGUUUUAUCGUCGGUUCGGGUAUUUCCGGUUUCCGGCAACCUAUGAGUUGAAAUGUACCGCGGGAUUAUUCCUAACUAGGCCUGAGCUCAAUCCUAUCAUUCUCGCGCACGCUUGGAACAAUUUCAUCCAGCGGACUGGCUUCGAGCAACUAACGCAAGGUAUGCCUAUUAACGUAUAUAUAUAUUUCUCUUUUUUUUUUGUUUUCUAAAAAAAUUUUUUUUUUUUAUAUAUUUUCUUUUUAUAUAUGGAAAUUAUUUAAAAGGGCUGGUUCCGUUCGUCCUGUCGUUCGGGUAAGAAGUACACUAUGUCGAAAACCUUAAUACCUGUGCACCACAGGACUGAUGGUGCGAAUUUGCCAGAGUAGUCCCACGAUGGAUGGAGCUGGCGAUGGCGUGGCUCAGCGUUGGCUGUUUUAGUUUUAUUAUCCUGUUUUACUUAAUUUGAUGUAUUACUUUAUUUAUUUUUAAGUUUUAUUUUAAGUUUAGUUUUAAAUUUGUAAUUUAUUAAAUGAAUAAUAAAAAAAUAAAAAAAAUUCAA